rnacentral:rRNA from 1 species
CGCGACCCCAGGUCAGGCGGGGUUACCCGCUGAAUUUUA